AUACUUACCUGGUAGGGGAAACACCAUGAUCAGGAAGGUGGUUUUCCCAGGGCGAGGUUCACCCAUUGCACUGCGGGUGUGCUGACCUCUGCGAUUUCCCCAAAUGCGGGAAACUCGACUGCAUAAUUUGUGGUAGUGGGGGACUGCGUUCGCGCUCUCCCCUG
rnacentral:snRNA from 1 species